UUGAAGACGACGACGUUGAUAGGCCGGGUGUGUAAGCGCAGCGAUGCGUUGAGCUAACCGGUACUAAUGAACCGUGAGGCUUAACCUU
rnacentral:rRNA from 10 species